CUUUCCUUGACGACGACUGGCGCACGGGUGAGUAACGCGUAUCCAACCUUCCCAUGACCACGGGAUAACCCGUUGAAAGACGGCCUAAUACCGUAUGACGUCGUUUGCCGACAUCGAAAGACGACCAAAGGUUUGGCGGUGAUGGAUGGGGAUGCGUCUGAUUAGCUUGUUGGCGGGGUAACGGCCCACCAAGGCGACGAUCAGUAGGGGUUCUGAGAGGAAGGUCCCCCACAUUUGAACUGAGACACGGUCCAAACUCCUACGGGAGGCAGCAGUC
rnacentral:rRNA from 1 species